UGGGGCAUAGUACAGUGGCGGAGCAUUCGACUGCAGUUCGAGAUGUCCCCGGUUCAAAUGCGGGUGCUCAAU
rnacentral:tRNA from 1 species